AACCGGAAAGCGUGUACCUGAACUGGUCUUUUUUUUCUUGCAUCUGCAUCUCUUGUACGGUUCCUUUUCACGAAGAAGGAAGAGUCGUUCUCUCGCCUUCGUGUCUUCGCUUCUUCAUUUUCGGCAUCCUUUUUUUUUUUUUCUCACAUCACUCCUCACCGUCGACUACCUUUCCUCAGCAAAAGCCCGUCUCUGCCGCGCGUAUUUUUGUGGCCUCCGUAGUUUGUCUAGAAGCUGCUGCAGCGAUUUCAAACAGCGUUGUCUCCUUCAGCCCUUCUUGUUGGCUCGCUCAGGCGCAUCCUUUUGCAUCUCAAGAGUUUCCUUGUACAGAGAAGCAGCGGUGGCGAUGACGGACAUGAACGGCAAGGUAGACGAGUUCGAUGAGGGCUCCGUCGUACAAAAGAAGUACGGCCCCAACGACUACCGGUACGGCGAGCCGGUGUACAAGGGCGAUGCAACGCCGUGCUUCGAAGACGGCCUUCUCUUCCGCAUUGUGGAGAAAAGCAACAACCGCUGGUCCUUUUACAAUGACACCAUCCACACGCAGAUGAAUGUGCAGAUCGUGUUUGGCCGCAAUUCCUCCCUGCGUGCGCUGGAGAACACAGAAAUGGUGAAGCUGGAGAACGGAUCCUACCGCGCUACUGUGACGGUGUACCCGAUGGAGACGGAGCUCUUUGUGGAGGGCGAGGUAAACGGCUUCACUAGCAACAUUCGUGCUCUGCCGCUGACGGAGGACUACCUCAAGGACAUGGCUCGUCAGGAUUACGAGUUCAUCAAACAGGAAACGGCGACCUUGUACAACGCUGUGGACAAGAACGCUACGACUGAUGACAUGGUUCGCAAGUGCGUGCAGAGCAAAAUCAAGUUUGUCGACUUUGCCUUCCCGCCGGAGCAGAAGUCGCUGCAGAUCGGCUCUCUCAUGAAGCUGAAGGUGCUGGCGUGGGAGCGCCCGGGCAUGUUCCUUUCCGACGAGAACGCCCGGCAGGCGCGCCUGUUUCGCAACGGCGUCCACCCAUCCAACAUCGACGAGGGUGAUUUGGGUGACUCGUGGCUGACGGGCGCGAUGGCAGCGUUGUCUGAGUUCCCGGACAAGAUCCGUGAUAUCUUCCGCCACCCCGAGAGCGUGGAGCAGGGGCAGAAGGAGCGCGAGUGCGGCAUCUACCGUGUGACGCUGAACAAGAACGGCUGGUGGACGAGCUUGAUUGUCGACGACUACCUGCCGGUGGCCGGCGGCCGCCCAAAGUUUGCCCGCUCCAAGGGCGAUCCGGCCGAGCUGUGGCCCUCCAUUCUCCAGAAGGCGUACGCGAAGGUCUUUGGCGGGUACGGCUUCAUUGUCGCUGGAGACCCGCUGCACGCGCUGCAGGACAUGUCCGGAUUCCCGUGCUCCUCUUUUGAUAACGCGUUCGUGGAGAGCACUAUCAACGAGACGUAUGAGCUGUUCGCGCAUCUCAAGAACUACAGUGACCUGGGCUACCAGCUUGUGUUCACCACCCCGACCCGCGAAGCCAUCAUGACGGCUCGCGGCGCCAUCAGCUGCGGCUCCCCCGUGCAGGCGGAGCGUGCGUACGAGAGGUCCAGCCUGCUGCUGGGGCACACCUACUCCGUGAUUCGCGUGGGAUACUUCGCGGAGCACGACCUGCGCCUUCUGCAGCUGCGGAACCCGUGGUCGCAGGCCUCCUCGGACUGGAAUGGGCCUUGGAACAAGCGCGACGAGAACUGGAACAAGUACACGGAGGUGGCAGACUACUUCCACUUUGACAGCAGCGAUGACGGCACCUUCUUCAUGGAGUGGACCGACGUGCAGGACUACUUUGUCAGCUGCGGCGUGUGCUUCAUUCAGAGCCCCACGUACGACUACCGCAUCCGCGGCACCUUCUUCCAAAACGUGCCGACGACAUGCCUGGAGAUCUCCGUUACACGUCCGAUGCUGAUCAACAUUAUUCUCUCGCAGGAAGACAAGCGUGGCACCGACAAGAGCGAGAACGCGCCGAUCAUGAUUAGUGUGGCGCACGGCAUGGGGGCGAUGACGCCGAUGCGCGUGGACUUGAACAGCGGCUUCGACAACGACCACCCGUCGCCCGAGUAUGCAUUCCUGCAGAGUCGUGACGUGAGCAUGUUCUACGAAUUCAAGCCGGAGAACUCGCCGUACCUCGUGGUGCCGCGUGCCAUGAGCCAGUUCGCCAAGCUUCCCUUCACACUAGGCCUACUGUGCCCGUACGAGAUCGGCAAGGAGACGAGCGAGGUCCGCGUGGCCUUCCGCGCCCUCGCCCCGGAGAACCGCAUCUUCGACAACUUCCAGAAGUUCAACUGCGAGACCGUGGCCACAGAGACGGAGUUCCAGGCAAAAGGCCCGAAGCAGUUUUUCCCUGACAUCUACGUGGGUACCAUCAUCCAGACGUCUGACGACUAAAACGCACCUCGAACUAGUUGGUGGCUUUUUAUUCUUUCUGUCCUUCGCACCUGCAUGCGUUUUCGCAGACAUACGAAGAAGGGGUUGUUGUGGCGGCGGCGAUGGUCGAGGAUGACGAAGCUCAAGACUCAUCUCUUUUCCGUUCCGUAAGCCUUCGUUUCUUUUGUCUGCGGGCGCUUGCGCCAUCGUCCUGCCCCGCCCGCUCUGCCUCUCCCCAGAGUACUCCUCGAUCAUUGUCGGAGUCUUUUUUUGUCGUCUGCGUUGCGUUUGCAUCGCUGUUGCCUUUCGCAUGACCGAGAGCAAAGGGGAGCAUGCGAAGCUCGAAUGGUGCAUGGAGAGUCGUGCGCACCCGUCUCUCUUUUUUUAUCUCCGCCCCGCCCCCUCUUUUUUUUCCUGUACCAUAGUUCAUGUCCUUUUUUUCCCCCUUUUUUGCGUGUUUUCUCUCGGCCCUUGCCGUUCGUGCUCUGCCUUCUUUCCGUUAUAGCGAGGCUGUCGCCAUUUUCCCUGCAUGUGUGUCGUUGUCCUUGUUUGCUUUUCCUUGUGUGUUGGUAGCGCGUGUGCGCGGGUGCAUGCAUGUGCCGUUGGCGCUUCUGGCUGGCGUGGCGUUCGUUUCGCUGUACCAGGGAGGGACCAGAGGAAAAGAGCUUUCACUUUUUUUCCACUUGUCACCGCACCUGUCCAUGUCCUCCGGCCCAUCCUCUCUUCCUCCUACGUCGUUUUCGAUUCCCCCUUUCAGCGCUUCGCUUUUGUUGUUUCCUUUUCUGUGCCUCUUCAUCUUCGUUGUUGUGGUUGUUGUACUGCUGCGGGGGAAGUUGUGUGAUGUGUUUAUUCUUCCUCUUCACUUCUCUUAAAAAGAUGUCUUUGCAGUUCCUUCUUUCCCUCUCCGACCCACCUCACGCAAUGCAGCCUUGAAUGCGUGCGCAUAACUCACAACGAGAGUGUGUGUUGGGGGGGGGGGACGGUGACCCUCGCUUUUUUCUCAGCGAAACCAAGAUUGGCUCCUGAUAUGUGUAUAUAUAUAUGUGUGUGUGUGCGUUCCUACGCCUUCCUCUUGUAUGUUGCGUCGUGUCCCCAGCUUUGCUAAUCAUCGUUUUUAUCACCUCCCCUUGCCAUCGCAUUUCGUUUCCUUCUCGCGCCGUUUACCGUCUCUAUUCGCUUCUCAUCUCCCGCUGUUUUUUUUUUCUCACUUGCCUCUGUGCCAGUUUCGAUUUCUGGUUUCUUACCUUAUUUUUUGUUGGUCUUUUGUCCAUUUAUGUGUCUUGCCUGGCUUUCCCACGUCCUCAUGUUGUCAGGUGUUGAUUAUGCAUGUCUAUGUGUGAAGCAUCACCUCUUUUUUCUUUUUGUGUACACGGUCAUCGCAUUUUUUUCCUUCGUUGCUGUGUUUCACUCGCUGCUUGCGGUUUCUUGUCUCCCUAGUCUUCCCUCUAAAUAUCCCUUCUCUCUCGCUGCGGCAGAUGCGCGCCAGUGCCUUGCACCCCCUUGGCUUGCGCUGCGCUCUUUCUGUUUUGGCGACGUCCUGAGGGCGGCGGCGGCGGCAGGUGUGGACCCCUCUGAGGAGAGAUCCACUCGAAGCCUCGAGCGAUCAAAGCAGCGGAUGGACUGACUUGUGCCCGGUGCGUUGAUGUCUCGCCUGCUUUAGCGCUUUGUCGACGUCCAUGGCAGAGAUCCACAUGAGGCACAGAGAGAGAGGAGAGGGUGGUGGUGGUGGUGGUGGGGGGGCGCAUUUGUGGGGCGGUCAGGGAAAAGAGGGUGGAGGGGGGAGGGAAGGCCCGAAAGGUCGGCCAGCGAAGGAGCUUUCACACCCUCGUUUUCUCUGCGUUUUUCCCUUUGCUGAUUCUUUCCUUUGCGCUUCUCUUGUUCUCAUGCGUGUGCUCAUGCCCAUCUUCAGAGAUUAUAUAUAUAUGUGUGUGUGUGUGUGUCUGUGCAUCUACUAUGUGGCAUCCUGCUGGAUUGUGCGCUCGCUCUUUUCCAUGUUUCUGUUCAUCGUGAAUAUGCGCUCGCCAUAAGCCCCUCUCUCCCUCACACUCACUCCUCUCUGUUGGUACGCUUUACUGUCUUUGCUUUCUCAUGUGACUCUCUCUCUCGUCUCCGACGAUUUUUUUUUCUUGAAGGUGAAAGUGAUGCUGUAAAUGGCGCUACUGUUUUUAUUUCUUCUCCCUCUUUCGCUGUGUUCCGAGCUCUUCUCAUGAGGAGGCGCAGCCACCCCAUUUCUUUCGUCUCUUUGUGAUUUUCCCCUCUUUCUGCCCGUCUGUGCAUGCUUCUACGCGUGUGUGGGUGCGGAUUAGUAUGUAUUGGCACUUCUUUCUCCUACGUUUUCCGUGGAUGUCUCGCUCUUUUCCCUUAUACAUAUGCGUGCCCCUCUCACACAAGGCAAGCGCCUGUUUUCUCGUGCGGCACGGCUGCCGCUCUGCAUCUCCAUCUGUGAUUUCAGCUUCUCCCGUUUUCUCUGUUGGAUUCGCUGUUCCUCCCUCUUUCAAGCGCUCUAUUCCCUUCGUUUGAGAGCAGUGUAACACUAAGAGAAG
rnacentral:misc_RNA from 1 species